CUCGGCAACGGAUAUCUCGGCUCUCGCGUCGAUGAAGAACGUAGCGAAAUGCGAUACUUGGUGUGAAUUGCAGAAUCCCGUGAACCAUCGAGUCUUUGAACGCAAGUUGCGCCCGAAGCCAUUAGGCUGAGGGCACGUCUGCCUGGGCGUCACGC
rnacentral:rRNA from 1 species